CUCGCUCGCCCAUCYGGUUGAUCCUGCCGGCGGCCACUGCUAUCAAGUUCCGACUAAGCCAUGCGAGUCAAGGUAUCGUAAGAUGCCGGCAAACUGCUCAGUAACACGUGGAUAAUCUAACCUUGAGUAAGGGAUAACUUCGGGAAACUGAAGGUAAUACCUUAUAAUUGCUUAAAACUGGAAUGUUUUUGCAAUAAAAGUUACGACGCUCAAGGAUGAGUCUGCGACCUAUCAGGUAGUAGGUGGUGUAAUGGACCACCUAGCCUCAGACGGGUACGGRCCCUGGGAGGGGUAGCCCGGAGAUGGACUCUGAGACAUAAGUCCAGGCCCUACGGGGCGCAGCAGGCGCGAACACUGUGCAAUGCGCGAAAGCGCGACACGGGGAGCUUGAGUGUCUUGGCAUAGCCAAGACUUUUCUCAUUCCUAAAAAGCAUGAGGAAUAAGUGCUGGGUAAGACGGGUGCCAGCCGCCGCGGUAACACCCGCAGCACGAGUAGUGGUCACUUUUAUUGAGCCUAAAGCGUUCGUAGCCGGUUUUGUAAAUCUUCAGAUAAAGCCUGAAGCUUAACUCCAGAAAGUCUGAAGAGACUGCAAGACUUGRGAUCGGGUGAGGUUAAACGUACUUUCAGGGUAGGGGUAAAAUCCUGUAAUCCCGGAAGGACGACCAGUGGCGAAAGCGUUUAACUAGAACGAAUCUGACGGUAAGGAACGAAGGCUAGGGUAGCAAACCGGAUUAGAUACCCGGGUAGUCCUAGCUGUAAACAUUGCCCAUUUGAUGUUGCUUUUCCGUUGAGGGAAGGCAGUGUCGGAGCGAAGGUGUUAAAUGGGCCGCUUGGGAAGUAUGGUCGCAAGACUGAAACUUAAAGGAAUUGGCGGGGGAGCACCGCAACGGGAGGAAUGUGCGGUUUAAUUGGAUUCAACGCCGGAAAACUCACCGGGAACGACCUGUGCAUGAGAGUCAACCUGACGAGCUUACUCGAUAGCAGGAGAGGUGGUGCAUGGCCGUCGUCAGCUCGUACCGUAGGGCGUUCACUUAAGUGUGAUAACGAGCGAGACCCACAUCUUUAAUUGCAAAUGUAUAUGAGAAUAUGCAUGCACUUUAGAGAAACCGCCAGCGCUAAGCUGGAGGAAGGAGUGGUCGACGGCAGGUCAGUACGCCCCGAAUUUCCCGGGCUACACGCGCAUUACAAAGAACGGGACAAUACGUUGCAACCUCGAAAGAGGAAGCUAAUCGCGAAACCCGUCCAUAGUUAGGAUUGAGGGCUGUAACUCGCCCUCAUGAAUCUGGAUUCCGUAGUAAUCGCGGGUCAACAACCCGCGGUGAACAUGCCCCUGCUCCUUGCACACACCGCCCGUCAAACCAUCCGAGUUGGUGUUGGAUGAGGUUUAAUUCGAGAGGGUUAAAUCAAAUCUGAUGUCGGUGAGGAGGGUUAAGUCGUAACAAGGUAACCGUA
rnacentral:rRNA from 1 species